UUGAAAGGGAAACGAUUGAAGUAAGUCGUACCUAUGGGUAAUCAGCCUUUUGGGUGUGAUUUUGUGGAGCGUGAGGAGUUAAACGCCUUCAUGCUUUGCAUAUUCGUGCACUUUGGGUGUACUUGCCCGUAUGGUUGGUUAACAUCAAUUUUGGUGGUCAUAAAAUGACUGGAGGAAUGUAGCUUCGAUCUCGUAUUGAAGUGUUAUAGCCUUCGGUAGAUGUGAUGAUCGAGAUCGAGGAUUGCAACGGAUACCCUUCGGGGCUACCCGUCUGGUCUCUGAUCGUUGCUCUGGUGCCGAAAGCUUGCUUACGGUUAUCAAAGUCGAUGGUCAAUAGGUUAGAACGGGUUAAAUUCGUUAAGGAUGUUGACGUA
rnacentral:rRNA from 1 species